AGGAAUUGGCGGGGGAGCACUACAAUCGGUGACGCGUGCGGUUUAAUUUAACUCCACACAGAAAAUCUCACCAGGGGCGACGGCAGGAUGAAGGUCAGAUUAAAGGUCUUACCUAACGAGCCGAGAGAUGUUGCAUGGCCGGCGUCAGCUCGUGCCGCAAGGUGUCCGGUUAAGUCCGGCAACGAGCAAGACCUGUACCCUUAUUUGCUAACGAGUUCUUCGGAAUGAUCGAGCACAAUAGUGGGACUGCCUUGGUAACAAGGAGGAAGGUGCAGGCAACGCUAGGUCUGUAUGACUCUAAUCUCCUGGGCUACACGCGCGCGGCAAUGACUAGUACAAUGGGAUGCAACGCCGAAAGGCGGAGCUAAUCCUCGAAAACUAGCCUUAGUUCAGAUUGAGGGCUGUAACUCGCCCUCAUGACGCUGGAAUCGAUAGUAAUCGCUCGUCAUUAGCGAGCGGUGAAUACGUCCCUGUUCCUUGCACACACCGCCCGUC
rnacentral:rRNA from 1 species